UAGGGAAUCUUCGGCAAUGGACGAAAGUCUGACCGAGCAACGCCGCGUGAGUGAAGAAGGUUUUCGGAUCGUAAAACUCUGUUGUUAGAGAAGAACAAGGACGUUAGUAACUGAACGUCCCCUGACGGUAUCUAACCAGAAAGCCACGGCUAACUACGUGCCAGCAGCCGCGGUAAUACGUAGGUGGCAAGCGUUGUCCGGAUUUAUUGGGCGUAAAGCGAGCGCAGGCGGUUUCUUAAGUCUGAUGUGAAAGCCCCCGGCUCAACCGGGGAGGGUCAUUGGAAACUGGGAGACUUGAGUGCAGAAGAGGAGAGUGGAAUUCCAUGUGUCGCGGUGAAAUGCGUAGAUAUAUGGAGGAACACCAGUGGCGAAGGCGGCUCUCUGGUCUGUAACUGACGCUGAGGCUCGAAAGCGUGGGGAGCAAACAGG
rnacentral:rRNA from 1 species